rnacentral:piRNA from 1 species
AUAUUGGAUAUUAGCCCUCUAUCGGAU